GCCACCGAAUACAUUAGCAUGGGAUAAUGGAAUAGGACCCUGUCCUCCUAUUUUCAGUUGGUUUUGGCAGCGCGAGGACUAGGGUAAUGAUUAAUAGGGAUAGUUGGGGGCAUUAAUAUUUAAUUGUCAGAGGUGAAAUUCUUGGAUUUAUGAAAGAUUAACUUCUGCGAAAGCAUCUGCCAAGGAUGUUUUCAUUAAUCAAGAACGAAAGUUAGGGGAUCGAAGACGAUCAGAUACCGUCGUAGUCUUAACCAUAAACGAUGCCGACCAGCGAUUAGGAGACGUUGAAUACAAAACACCACCAUCGGUGCGGUCGUCCUUGGCGUCGGUCUUUCGGGGCCGGCGCGGGGACGGCUUAGCCCGGUGGCACCGGUGAAUGACUCCCUAG
rnacentral:rRNA from 1 species